rnacentral:rRNA from 1 species
GGACCAGCAUGAAUGGCAACAUGAGAAAACCCCUGUCUCUUCAAGCUAGUCAGUGAAACUGACUGCCUGUUAAAAAGCAGGUAUACAAAAAUAAGACAAAAAGACCCUGUGAAACUUCAAAUGCCCUUCAAUCGUAUGCGGGGUAUUUUUCGGUUGGGGCAACCAAUGAGAAACAAACCUCAUAAAAUCAUAAGGCCCACAAGCCAAACAGCACCUACGAUCCAGUACCACUGAUCAAAGAACAAAGCUACUCCAGGGAUAACAGCGCCACAUUCUUAAAGGUCCGUAUCGACAAGAAUACCUACGACCUCGAUGUUGGAUCAGGGUACCCAAAUGGUGCAGAAGCUAUUAAAGGUUCGUUGUUCAACGAUUAAAACCCUACGUGAUCUGAGUUCAGAC